rnacentral:lncRNA from 1 species
CUCAAAAAGUCAGUCCGAUGACGGAAACAAUAUCUGGACGCAUUUAUUUUCAUAUUCCUCGCUAAACAUGCAAAAUAACCCAAACUGAAAUACGAUAAGCAAGGAUGAUUAAUGCUAGAACACACCCGUUAAAUCGCGGGCAUUCAGAGCGUGGUUGAAAGUAUGUAAAGUGUUGUAGGAUGAAUUUUUGUAAAAGAUUUAACGACUGGAGAAUCAACGGCGGUCAUUGAUAUAUUAUACAGACCCUUUCUAUUUAAUAUACUUAGUGACCCGAUGAAUUUUUGUAAAAGAUUUUAUGACUGGAGAAUUUCAGAAAAGGUAUCAACAGUCAUAGGUACUUUGGGACAUGACAAUUGUUAUUCUAACCCGGCUCCUCAAUUUUUGGCUCCAACAUUCCAUUUUUUUUUGUUUUCUAUUAAUUUCAAUAAUGUUAGUGUUUAUCUGUAUAUUAU